GAUGAAGAACGUAGCGAAAUGCGAUAACUAAUGUGAAUUGCAGAAUUCAGUGAAUCAUCGAGUCUUUGAACGCACAUUGCGCCCGCCAGCAUUCUGGCGGGCAUGCCUGUUCGAGCGUCAUUUCAACCCUCGACCUCCCUUUGGGGAAGUCGGCGUUGGGGACCGGCAGCACACCGCCGGCCCUGAAAUGGAGUGGCGGCCCGUCCGCGGCGACCUCUGCGUAGUAAUCCAACUCGCACCGGAACCCCGACGCGGCCACGCCGUAAAACACCCAACUUCUGAACGUUGACCUCGAAUCAGGUAGGACUACCCGCUGAACUUAAGCAUAUCAAUAAGCGGAGGA
rnacentral:misc_RNA from 1 species